CCCCAUGAAUGCAAAACUUGGACAAAUUAUUGAUAACAUACUUUUAAUAUAAUAUGAAACCUAUUAUACUGCUUUACUCUUAUGAGCUUGCUAGUCUGUCUGUUCUUUACACUCUAGGUUCCUUGAGAGCAAGGACCAUGAACCCAGCACAGUGCCUGGAACACAGUAGGUUCUCAAUAAGUUUAUUGAAUAAGUCAGUGAACGGUCUCAGGGAAUCUGGAAAUGAGACUUGCUGAUGUCCCUUACUAUCUGGAAGACCAUGGGCAACUCAGUCCUCUGGGCUCCAGCAUCCUCCCCUGUAUAACGAAGGUAAUAACACCUGCCUCACAAGCUUUUUGUGGGGAUCAGAUGAGAUGACCAAUCAGGAGCACUUUAUAAUGGUAAAACACAAAUAUUUGAUUUCCUUUUAUUAUGAAGAAUGCUGAGGAAGCAUGGGAAGUAAUUGCAAUAAGCAGUGGUGGUCACUGUGAGGGGUGUGGAGGGCAGAGAGCGGAACAUACAGACUGGGUUCUGGUGAAUCCCAAGAACACAGUGGGGCAGCCCCGGUUGCUCUACCUUCUAACUCUAUUUCUAAUCUGACCGCUCCUGCCUCUCCGUGACCCCUCCAUCCCAGCACCCAUCUUCUCCUGCUCCAAUGACUGCACUAGCCUCUAACUGGUCUUGCUUCUUCCACUCUUGCCCUCUUCCAAUCUGUUCUCCAUACAGCAGCCAGAGAGAUCUUUGACUAAUGUAAGUCAAAAGCACUUCCUUGCUUAGAACCAUUUAAUAGUGUCCUGCUUUACAGAGGAUGAAACCCAGCCCACAUACACAGACUCCCAGGCCUGGGACAAUCUGACCCCUGAGCUCUUUCCACCCUGAUUUUAUGCAAUUUCCUUUUACUCAUCACACUCCUAUUAGACUGCCUAUUGUCAGCUCCCAGAGCCUUCCAUGCCAAGCUAUUUGUGGUCUCCAGACUCUACGUGAUAUAAGCUGUUCCCUCUGCCCCAAACAGUCUUACUGCAGCUUCUCCUCUGGCUGGCUCUUUCUUUAGGUCUAUUCUUAAAUAUCGCCUCCUUAAGAGGUCUUCUGUAGAUUCCCUGUUAUUCUCUUACACUAUACUCUGUUUAUUUAUUCCGUACCACCAAUAACCAUUGUUAGGAUUCCCAGGCAAGAUGGUCAAAUAGGAGCAGCUCCGGUCUGCAGCUCCCAAUGAGACCAACACAGAAGGCGGGUGAUUUCUGCAUUUCCAGCUGAGGUACCUGGCUCAUCUCACUGGGACUGGUUAGACAGUGGGUGCAGCCCAUAGAGGGUGAACAGAAGCAGGGUGGGGCAUCGCCUCACCUGGGAAGUGCAAGGGGUUGGGGAACUCUCUCCCUUAGCCAAGGGAAGCCAUGAGGGACUGUGCCAUGAGAGACGAAGCUAUGUGGCCCAGAUACUACGCUUUUCCCACUGUCUUUGCAACCCGCAGACCAGGAGAUUCCCUCGGGUGCCUACACCACCAGGGCCCCAGGUUUCAAGCACAAAGCCAGGCAGCCUUUUGGGCAGACACCAAACUAGCUGCAGGAGUAUUUUUUUUGUAACCUAGUGGCAGCUGGAACACCAGCAAGACAGAACUAUUCACUCCCCUGGAAAGGGGGCUGAAGCCAGGGAGCCAAGUGGUCUAGCUCAUCAGAUCCCACCCCCACAGAGCCCAGCAAACUAAGAUCCACUGGCUUGAAAUUCUCACUGCCAGCACAGCAGUCUGAAGUCAACCUGGGACACUCCAGCUUGGUGGGGGGAGGGGUGUCCACCAUUUCUGAUGCUUGAGUAGGCCGUUUUCCCCUCACAGUGUAAACAAAGCCACCAGGAAGUUUGGACUGUGCGGAGCCCACUGCAGCUCGUUGUAGCCAGACUCUCUAGAUUUCUCCCCUUUGGGCAGGGCAUCUCUGAGAAAAAGUCAGCAGCCCCAGUCAGGGGCUUAUAGAUAAAACUCCCAUCUCCCUGGGACAGAGCACCUGGGGGAAAGGGUGGCUGUGGGUGCAGCUUCAGCAGAUUUAAAUGUUCCUGCCUGCCGGCUCUGAAGAGAACAGCAGACCUCCCAGCACAGCAAUCGAGCUCUGCUAAGGGAUAGACUGCCUCCUCAAGUGGGUCCCUGACCCCUGUGCCUCCUGAAGGAGAGACACCUUCCAGCAGGGGUCAACAGACACCUCAUACAGGAGAGCCCCAGCUGGCAUCUGGGAGGUGCCCCUCUGGGAUGAAGCUUCCAGACGAAGGAACAGGCAGCAAUCUUCACUGUUCUGCAGCAUCUGCUGGUGAUAUCCAGGCAAACAGGGUCUGGAGUGGACCUCCAGCAAACUCCAGCAGACCUGCAGAAGAGCGACCUGACUGUUAGAAGGAAAACUUACAAACAGGAAGCAAUAGCAUCGACAUCAACAAAAAGAACGAACGCUCAAAAACCCCAUCUGAAGGUCACCAGAAUCAAAGACCAAAGGUAGACAAAUCCACGAAGAUGAGGAAAAACCAGGGCAAAAAGGCUGAAAAUGCCAAAAUCCAGAAUGCUUCUUCUCCUCAAAAAGAUCACAACUCUUUGCCAGCAAGGAAACAAAACUGGACAAAGAAUGAGUUUGAAUUGA
rnacentral:lncRNA from 1 species